UACGUAGGGUGCGAGCGUUAAUCGGAAUUACUGGGCGUAAAGGGUGCGUAGGUGGGUUGGUAAGUCAGUGGUGAAAUCCCCGAGCUUAACUUGGGAACUGCCAUUGAUACUAUCAGUCUUGAAUACCGUGGAGGUCAGCGGAAUAUGUCAUGUAGCGGUGAAAUGCUUAGAUAUGACAUAGAACACCAAUUGCGAAGGCAGCUGGCUACACGAAUAUUGACACUGAGGCACGAAAGCGUGGGGAUCAAACAGG
rnacentral:rRNA from 1 species